rfam:Gossypium hirsutum cultivar TM-1 chromosome 9, whole genome shotgun sequence
AGUCCAUGGUGUGGGCAUUUCUGAAUUAGCAUUUUAAAAUGCUCCCAAGCUUCAUGAAAGCUUUAUCCCUCAGAUUGUUUGAAUGUUGAAAUCUCCCUCCUUCGUU